CUGUCACCAAAGGAGCGUAACAGAAUCAGAAAGUCUUGUCAGGCCAGGAUUUAGCUCAGUGGAUCCAGCACCUGCCUUGCAAGGGACCCUGCCUUGCAAGGGAAAGGUCCCCAGUUCAAUCCCCAGUACCAAAAAACGAACAAACAAACAAAGUCCUGCCAGAACUCUUUGCUCUCCCCCUCACACACACACACACACACACCUGUUGCUCUGCUUUGUAUAAAUCCUGCUUGCUAUAUUCCAGGGAAACUCCAAUGAAAUACUGGGGACAGAACCUAGGGCCUGCUGCAUAGCAGCUGCCAUUUUAUAGAAUCUUGGAGCAACAGAUUGCAAUCCCAAUCAGCCGCAAACAACUGUCUUGAGGAGAUGAUUUCAUCCUCCAUGAACACCACAGAUGAGUCUUCAAUUAAUACUUGAUUUAAUGGACACUGUGAAGCCUCGCCUACAAGAGGUCAUGACUGUGGAUGAAGAAUUCAUGGGAUAAAAUCACUGACAGCUGUGCUGCCAGUGCACUACAAGCAGGCUACAUGGAGAAGAGAUGCUCAUUUAGGGAGAGCUCUAUUGCUGGACAUGAG
rnacentral:lncRNA from 1 species